AACGAACGCUGGCGGCAUGCCUAACACAUGCAAGUCGAACGAGACCUUCGGAUCUGGUUGCUCACACGUGCGUCACGCGUCGGAACCUUCCCUUAUGUUCGGAAUAACUCUCCUAAAGGGGUGCUAAUACCGGAUAAUUUCUUCUGACCACAGAUUUGUCGCCCUUGUGUGGGCCCGCGUUGGUUUAGCUUGUUGCGAUGGUAAGAGCCUACCACGGCGACGAUCCUUAGCUGGUCUGAGAGGAUGAGCCGCCACACUGAGAGUGAGACCCGGUCCAGACUAUUACGGGAGGCAGCAGAGGGGAAUACUGGAAUACGGGCGAAAGCAUGAAGCAGCACGGCUGCGUGAGUGAUGAAGGCCGUAGGGAUGUAAAGCUCGUUUACCCGGGAUUAUAAUGACAGUACCGGGAGAAUAAGCUCCGGCUAACUUCGUG
rnacentral:rRNA from 1 species